rnacentral:rRNA from 1 species
CCUACGGGUGGCUGCAGUGAGGAAUAUUGGUCAAUGGGCGCGAUCCUGAACCAGCCAUGCAGCGUGCAGGAUGACGGCCCUACGAGUUGUAAACUGCUUUUGUACCGGGAUAAAAUGCCUUACGUGUACCGUUUUGUAUGUACUGUAUGAAUAAGGAUCGGCUAACUCCGUGCCAGCAGCCGCGGUAAUACGGAGGAUCCGAGCGUUAUCCGGAUUUAUUGGGUUUAAAGGGAGCGUAGGUUGGUUUUUAAGUUAGUUGUGAAAGUUUGCGGCUCAACAGUAAGAUUGCCAUUGAUACUGUAAGACUAGAGAACAGAUGCAGUAGGCGGAAUGUGUGGUGUAGCGGUGAAAUGCAUAGAUAUUACGAAGAACACCGAUUGCGAAGGCAGCUUACUAAGCCGGAACUGACAUUGAUGCACGAAAGCGUGGGUAUCGAACAGGAUUAGAUACCCCUGUAGUC